AUUGAACGCUGGCGGCAGGCCUAACACAUGCAAGUCGAGCGAGCGGCGGACGGUUGAGUAAUGUAUGGGGACUGCCCGAUAGCGGGGGAUAACUACUGGAAACGGUUGCUAAUACCGCAUACUAUCGGAUAACCCAUAUGGGAUUAGCUAGUAGGGAAGGUAAUGGCUUACCUAGGCGACGAUCCCUAGCUGGUCUGCGAGGAUGAUCAGCCACACUGGGACUGAGACACGGCCCAGACUCCUACGGAGGCAGCAGUGGGGAAUAUUGCACAAUGGGCGCAAGCCUGAUGCAGCAAUGCCGCGUGUAUGAAGAAGGCCUUAGGGUUGUAAAGUACUGUCAGUCGGGAGGCGUUACCGACAGAAGAAGCAACGGCUAACUCCGUGCCAGCCGCCGCGGUAAUUC
rnacentral:rRNA from 1 species